GCGGAGGUGGCAGAACGGCAACGCGCUUGGCUUGAGACCAAGUGUCCGUGAGGACUUGCAGGUUCGAAUCCUGCCCUUCGCA
rnacentral:tRNA from 10 species